rnacentral:ncRNA from 2 species
GUACAGUGAGCGGGCCGUGGUGUUCGGGAAUACCGGUGACAGGCCCUCGUCAGGGGGUCCCAGACCGGAGCGGCCCUCGCCACUGUGAUCGGGGAGUUCCCGUCCCGUUCCGCGCGCCGGCCACGGCGCGGGGAACCACUGGCCGUUCGCGCGGCCGGGAAGGCAGGGCCGGGCGCGAGCACCACCCGUCAGCCAGGAGACCGGCCACGGCAUCUCACGAAGA